GCCAGUGCAGCGUAGUGGUUUGAAUGUCAGACUACGACUCUGGAGACCAGGGUUCGAAUCCCCACUCAGCCA